CCAGGGGGCCGGGCAGCCGCGUCAGUUCUUUCGGGAACUGCCGAGGAAAGUCCGGGCUCCACGAAACAAGGGUGGCGGGUAACGCCCGCCGGGCGAGGAUUUUCGGAUCCGGACCAAGGGAAAGUGCCACAGAGAGCAAACCGCCGAUGGCCUGCGUUUCGGCGCAGGGACAGGCAAGGGUGAAAGGGUGCGGCAAGAGCGCACCGGGGGGCCGGCAACGGCAACCGCAAGGCAAACCCCACCCGGAGCAAAACCGAAUAGGGGCGGCACGUUCCGGAUUUAUCCGGGACAGGCGGGUUUCGCGCCAGUCGCCCGGGUUGGUUGCUAGAGCGGCCAGGCAAUUGGUCGCCAAGAUGAAUGGCUGCCACCGCAGAUACGGUCCCGCAUAGGAUACCGUCUGCGGUACAGAACCCGGCUUACAGGCCCCCUGGCAUU
rnacentral:RNase_P_RNA from 1 species